rnacentral:rRNA from 1 species
ACGCUGGCGGCAGGCUUACACAUGCAAGUCGAGCGGUAACAUUUCUAGCUUGCUAGAAGAUGACGAGCGGCGGACGGGUGAGUAACGCGUAGGAAUCUGCCUAGUAGUGGGGGACAACAUGUGGAAACGCAUGCUAAUACCGCAUACGCCCUACGGGGGAAAGGAGGGGAUCUUCGGACCUUUCGCUAUUAGAUGAGCCUGCGUGAGAUUAGCUAGUUGGUGGGGUAAAGGCCUACCAAGGCGACGAUCUCUAGCUGGUCUGAGAGGAUGAUCAGCCACACUGGGACUGAGACACGGCCCAGACUCCUACGGGAGGCAGCAGUGGGGAAUAUUGGACAAUGGGCGCAAGCCUGAUCCAGCCAUGCCGCGUGUGUGAAGAAGGCCUUAGGGUUGUAAAGCACUUUCAGGAGUGAGGAAGGGCGUAUAGUUAAUACCUGUAUGUUUUGACGUUAACUCCAGAAGAAGCACCGGCUAACUCUGUGCCAGCAGCCGCGGUAAUACAGAGGGUGCGAGCGUUAAUCGGAAUUACUGGGCGUAAAGCGCGCGUAGGCGGUUUGUUAAGUCGGAUGUGAA